CUAUCGGCCCUUUUCAGAGCCAUCAAAUAUUCUAAAAGAUAUUCGU
rfam:Anopheles maculatus strain maculatus3 cont1.15217, whole genome shotgun sequence.